GCCGCUGUAGCUCAGUUGGUAGAGCAAUGCUUUUGUAAAGCAUAGGUCGUGGGUUCGAGUCCCUCGAGCGGCU
rnacentral:tRNA from 1 species